UAGGGAAUCUUCCGCAAUGGGCGAAAGCCUGACGGAGCAACGCCGCGUGAGUGAUGAAGGUCUUCGGAUCGUAAAACUCUGUUAUUAGGGAAGAACAAAUGUGUAAGUAACUAUGCACGUCUUGACGGUGCCUAAUCAGAAAGCCACGGCUAACUACGUGCCAGCAGCCGCGGUAAUACGUAGGUGGCAAGCGUUAUCCGGAAUUAUUGGGCGUAAAGCGCGCGUAGGCGGUUUUUUAAGUCUGAUGUGAAAGCCCACGGCUCAACCGUGGAGGGUCAUUGGAAACUGGAAAACUUGAGUGCAGAAGAGGAAAGUGGAAUUCCAUGUGUAGCGGUGAAAUGCGCAGAGAUAUGGAGGAACACCAGUGGCGAAGGCGACUUUCUGGUCUGUAACUGACGCUGAUGUGCGAAAGCGUGGGGAUCAAACAGG
rnacentral:rRNA from 1 species